rnacentral:rRNA from 1 species
GUUUGAUCCUGGCCCAGGAUGAACGCUGGCGGCGUGCUUAACACAUGCAAGUCGAACGAGCCUUCGGGCGAGUGGCGGACGGGUGAGUAACGCGUGGGAAUCUGCCCUCAGGAGGGGGAUAACGGCCGGAAACGGCCGCUAAUACCCCAUAUGCCGAGAGGUGAAAUGAAUUUCGCCUGAGGAUGAGCCCGCGUCUGAUUAGCUAGUCGGUGGGGUAAGAGCCCACCAAGGCGACGAUCAGUAGCUGGUCUGAGAGGAUGAUCAGCCACACUGGGACUGAGACACGGCCCAGACUCCUACGGGAGGCAGCAGUGGGGAAUUUUCCGCAAUGGGCGGAAGCCUGACGGAGCAACGCCGCGUGAGGGAUGAAGGCCUCUGGGCUGUAAACCUCUUUUCUCAAGGAAGAAGACAUGACGGUACUUGAGGAAUAAGCCACGGCUAAUUCCGUGCCAGCAGCCGCGGUAAUACGGGAGUGGCAAGCGUUAUCCGGAAUUAUUGGGCGUAAAGCGUCCGCAGGCGGCCUUGUAAGUCUGUCGUUAAAGCGUGGAGCUCAACUCCAUUUAAGCGAUGGAAACUACAAGGCUGGAGUGUGGUAGGGGCAGAGGGAAUUCCCGGUGUAGCGGUGAAAUGCGUAGAUAUCGGGAAGAACACCAGUGGCGAAGGCGCUCUGCUGGGCCAUAACUGACGCUCAUGGACGAAAGCCAGGGGAGCGAAAGGGAUUAGAUACCCCUGUAGUCCUGGCCGUAAACGAUGAACACUAGGUGUCGGGGGAAUCGACCCCCUCUCGUGUCGUAGCCAACGCGUUAAGUGUUCCGCCUGGGGAGUACGCACGCAAGUGUGAAACUCAAAGGAAUUGACGGGGGCCCGCACAAGCGGUGGAGUAUGUGGUUUAAUUCGAUGCAACGCGAAGAACCUUACCAGGGUUUGACAUCCUGCGAAUCCCUUGGAAACGUGGGAGUGCCUUCGGGAGCGCAGAGACAGGUGGUGCAUGGCUGUCGUCAGCUCGUGUCGUGAGAUGUUGGGUUAAGUCCCGCAACGAGCGCAACCCACGUCUUUAGUUGCCAGCAUUCAGUUGGGCACUCUAGAGAGACCGCCGGUGAUAAACCGGAGGAAGGUGUGGAUGACGUCAAGUCAUCAUGCCCCUUACAUCCUGGGCUACACACGUACUACAAUGCUACGGACAAAGGGCAGCAAGCUCGCGAGAGUAAGCAAAUCCCAUAAACCGUGGCUCAGUUCAGAUCGUAGGCUGCAACUCGCCUACGUGAAGGAGGAAUCGCUAGUAAUCGCAGGUCAGCAUACUGCGGUGAAUACGUUCCCGGGCCUUGUACACACCGCCCGUCACACCAUGGAAGUUGGCCAUGCCCGAAGUCGUUACUCCAACCC